rnacentral:rRNA from 1 species
AUUGAACGCUGGCGGCAGGCCUAACACAUGCAAGUCGAGCGAGCGGCGGACGGUUGAGUAAUGUAUGGGGAGCUGCCCGAUAGAGGGGGAUAACUGCUCGAAAGAGUGGCUAAUACCGCCUACUCUUGGAGCGGCCGAUAUCUGAUUUGCUCGUUGGUGGGGUAAAGGCUCACCAAGGCCACGGUCCGUAGCUGGUUUGAGAGGACGACCAGCAACACUGGGACUGAGAGACGGCCCAGACUCCUACGCGAGGAAGCAGUGGGGAAUUUUGGACAAGGGAGGAAACCCUGAUCCAGCCAUCCCGCGUGUAUGAGAAGGCCUUAGGGUUGUAAAGUACUUUUGGCAGAGAAGCGGUAUCUGCAGAAUAAGCACCGGCUAACUACGUGCCAGCAGCCGCGGUAAUAC